UAAAUGGACCCAGAGGCAGUUUUUGGUAUUUCCAUAUAAAUUAAAUGACUGGGGAUAAUAAUAGAAUUGACAUUUA
rnacentral:tmRNA from 1 species